rnacentral:rRNA from 1 species
GAUGAACGCUGGCGGCGUGCCUAAUACAUGCAAGUCGAGCGAACAGACGAGGAGCUUGCUCCUCUGACGUUAGCGGCGGACGGGUGAGUAACACGUGGAUAACCUACCUAUAAGACUGGGAUAACUUCGGGAAACCGGAGCUAAUACCGGAUAAUAUAUUGAACCGCAUGGUUCAAUAGUGAAAGACGGUUUUGCUGUCACUUAUAGAUGGAUCCGCGCCGCAUUAGCUAGUUGGUAAGGUAACGGCUUACCAAGGCAACGAUGCGUAGCCGACCUGAGAGGGGGAACGGCCACACUGGAACUGAGACACGGACCAGACUACUACGGGAGGCGGCAGUAGGGAAUAUUCCGCAAUGGGCGAAAGCAUGACGGAGCAACGCCGCGUGAGUGAUGAAGGUCUUCGGAUCGUAAAACACUGUUAUUAGGGAAGAAAAAAUGUGUAAGAAACUAUGCACGUAUUGACGGUAACUAAUCAGAAAGCAACGGCUAACUACGUG